GAAACCAGAAAGUAAGUUGAGGCUCUUGUUUGGGGUCUGUCAAAGCAAGCUACAGUACGCAGAGAAACCUGUCCCCCAAGAUCCUGGAGAACAAAGUGGUGAACAAAAAAACAAUAAUGCCUUUAAACACAAGGUGAAACAGUUCUGUUCAUAUGUACAAGCACAGUUCGUGCUUCUUCAGGAAUGUUCUGCUAAGUACAGUUCUGGAAUAAAGGCUGUUAGGAAAGAUGAGAAGCAGCUGUACUGAAGAAGUCCCGACAGCACAAAGAAAUGCAGUAAAAGAAGACUCAGUAUGACCUCAGUGUUCGAAUAUCGCAACUGUGGAAGUCUGGUCUUACAGAAACUAUAAAGCUAUGGGGAUUGACUAGAAGGUGAAAAGAGUCUUGCAAAUCAGUGGAGAGAUCCUCGUCUUGGAAAAUGUAGUCAGAUAAGUGGAACAAUUUUAAAAAAAUAUAAUUAAUUACAGUGAUUACAGUUGAUGGGAAUUGUAACCAGAGAUAAUGCUUUACCUUGGCUGUUGUGCAAGCAUAUAUAAAGUACAGCUAAAAGUAAAAAGAAACAUUGAAUACAAGAUGAUCUCUAUGUACAUGUAAAUAAAACACUAAGCAAAAUCAACUCUGAAACUGAGAUCAUCCACAUUGCCACUGCCCAGAUAACAAAUGUUCUGUCACAGCCUUCUUGCCUAAAAUCCCCAGACAGACUGGAACAGGAUUAGUGGGAUCACAACUGGUUAUCCUUCUCUAAUCCAUCCCAGCCAGGAGAUCUGUCUUUCUAUCUCCUGUUCUGUUACACGACUGCCAAUGAAAUCCUGAGGGCUAAGGCCACUUAAAGCCACUAAGCCCACAGUAGUGACCUAAGUGUCACUUUUCAACCACCAGUUAUCUGUGUAUUUCAAAAUCUGUUCUGUUGCUUAGGAGAGUUUUCGUAUGAAAUCAGUUUAUUUGCUGUUUUUUAUUGAUCAUGUCUGCACUUUUCCUGAGGUCAAACUCUGGUUUUACUCCUGCUUACUUGGUCUGGAUGAUAAUUUAUCUACAUGGGUCACACUGUCUUUAGAGACUGAAAUCAUAGUCCACGUAAUCUAUAUAUCUAGUGCAUUAAAGCUAUUGCUCUUAGCCAAAAAAUAGCUUCAAAAAUGCUUUCUACUUGCAGGAAUACAUCUUCCUAUCCAGAAGGCAGUCUGCUUUUUUUUUUUUUUUUUUUUUUUUUCCCUCUCCUUGCUUUGUAGUCUGCUUUAUUGCCUAAUCAAAACACAAUACUUAUCAUGAUGAAUAUAAAUUGAGUUGAGUAGAGUUUGAGUUUCAGUCUCCCAUGAGGGUUGUGAUAUUUCUGGUUAUACGUCACUGUCUCCAGUCAUUGUAUCAACCCAGGAAAAUCUCUCCCUUUUCAGCACCAAUGAAUUCAGUACACACUGUGAUAUAACAUAAUAAGGAACAGUUCAACACACUGAAACAAUCAUGUGAACCAACCGUUACAGAUCAAUCUCAAUUAAAAGAAAGCUGAAAUGCUCAUGCAUUUUUUUCUGAGAAGACAAAUGCCAAUGCUUUUUGGAGAAAUAGAAGCUCCAAAGGAAAGAACAGUUUGUAAGUUUUCAAGGAACUGUUGAUCUAAUGGUUUUAACCAGUUCUGGGUUCAGAAAUAAGAUACAAAUUCUUAAGGAAUUCUGAGAAAAUGACACUACUGAUAUACAAACUUUAAUUUAAUCCUGAGAAGUGUCAGCAUCGUGAAGUUCCGAGUUUAAUUGUGGGUUUAAUUUUAACGUUCAUUGUCAGCUUGAAGUGCUGCCAUGAGAGUUUCUGGUUUUUCGUAUUAAAUCACAUCACAGUCUAGAUAGCAAGAUACACCUUAAGGAUGCCGAUUGUAAAGAUGACUUCUAAAUCACAGAAUUACAGAAUCAUAGAGGUUGGAAGGGACCUCUGCAGGUCAUUUAGUCCUACCUGCUAAGGCAGGUUCCCUAGAGUAGGCUGCACAGAAAAGCAUCCAGGUGGGUUUUGAAUAUCAAAUGACAGUUUACUAAUGGGAGACUUUUAUGGAAAGCUAAAAAGGAGAGAGAGGUGCACUCUGACAUGUAAUGCUCCUCCACUGAAAUCCCAGCACACACAAAAAAUUGAUUUCAUUCCUAUCUCAGAAAGUCAUUUUGUGAAAGGAUUGCAUGAACCAUGUAACCUGGCACAGGAAAAGAUGUCUAUCCACCAAAGAAUGUAUUGAAAAGACACUGCUUAGUAGCUAGUUGUACAGUCUUAGAAUAAUUUCAGUUAGAAUGGACUACUGCUGUCACAAGGUUACUGGUGGCCCAAUCCACCAACCUGAGAUUCCUCUGAACAGCAGCCCAACCUUUCAAGCACAAGGACUGCUUCCCCCAUAUUUAGUUUGUCCACAAACUUGAUGGCAGUGAACUCUGUCUCAUCAUCCACGGAAUACACUAAACAUUACUAGUAUCAGUCUCAGUGGGAUAUUGGUAGUAAUUCUUUGAUACUGUGAUUCUAUUCUAUGAUUCUAUUCCAAUUGGCCAAGACCAGAUUUUGUACUGCUGAUCACAAUUCUAAGCCUGAUGGUCCAGCCAGUUUUCCAUCCACCUCAUCAAAUUCACUUCUCCAGUUCAUAUCUGUUUGUAUACUGUAUUGCUACUGGAGACAGUAAUUCAAGUCUUAUAAAAUCCACUGCUCGCCCUUAUCAACAAAAACAAACAUCUCAUCAUAAAAGGUGAUCAGGUUGUUUAGGAGUGAUGUAGCCUUGACAAAGCUGUGCUGGCUGUUCCCCAGUCAUCUCUUUCAUGUGCUUGAAAAUGGCUCCAAGAACAGUUUAUUCUAUAACUUUCACAGAGACUGAGGUCAGGCUGAACAUCUUUGUUAUCUGGAGUCUCCUUUUUUUUGCCUUUUUUCAGACAUCAGGAAUCUCCCAUAGCCCCUGUAACCUUUCCAAGAUGAUAGCCAGAGGCCUCACAAUGACAGCAGGGAGCUUUCUCAGCACUUUUGGACACAUCGUAUACAGAACUAGGGACUUGGGCUUAUCCAACUGGUUCAAGUCUAUUUCCCUAUACAACAGGUAAUGCUCACAGGCUUUGCUGCUAUGCUGGUAGGUGUGAAAGCAAAUUUUACCAGUAAAAACAGGCAAAAAGGUCACUGAGUACUUUCAUCUUUUUCAUAUCCUUUGUCAGUAGCUCCUCUGACCCGCUGAGCAGUGGGUCUACAUUUGCAAUAGCAUCUUUUGCUGCUAAUGUCCUCAUAGAUGUCUUAAAAAAAAUAAAUAAUAAUAAAAUCCGUAGCAAGUUUCAGCUUUCCUGAGUGUCUCUCUGUGUGCUCAAGUGAUGUCUUUAUGUUCCUCCUGGGCUGCCUGUUCCUGCACACCUGCUAUGUGUUUUCCUCUCACAUUUGAGCUCAGCCAGGUGUUCAUUCUUCAUCCACACUGGCCUUCUGCUACACUUGCCUGACUUUCUUCCUGCUGGGAGAUUUCUGUGCUUUGAGGAAGCUGUCUGUGAAGAUAAUCGGCUCUCUCCUGGCCUGGCCUGUUGGUAUUAGUAAAACCUCUCCUUCCAUAAAAACGGUGAGUUCAUGAAUAUGGUCAAAUUGUGUUGGGAAAACAGCAACCACAGAAAUUCAGAUGAAGUCAUACUUCCACAUGCCUGCAAGUAUCCUGACUGUGGUAAACAGGUGAGUCUUAAAAACCAAACCACAGCGCUGCCUGACAAAGUAUAUUGCUGUGGUGCUUUUCACUUUUCCUAGAUAUUUAUUCGAAAAUAUGAAAUUUAGAGUUUCUUCAGGUAAAAAUUAUAGUAUAGUGUGUCGUAGCAAAAUGUUACCAAGAGAGAAAAAUACCCAAUUGAGGUGGCUAACGCAGUACAAGGACUAUUCUUCAUCGUGAAUUGAAUUUGAAAGUAUAUUCCACUAGAGGGCUCUCUUCACACAUAAAAAGAAAACCCGACUUGUAGCAGUAUUAGAUCUUUUGUCAAUUCUGCGGGUUAUAGCAGGAUUUUGGUAUAAGUUAAGAAACGUUUUGCGGUGCAUCAUUAUGCCCAAUAAGACCUUGUUUGGAAUAUAUAAUUAGUCUUGUAACUUCAUUUUCAGAGGAAGCAUUCUGGUACACUGUUCUAGUUCUGGUUGGGGUAGCAUUAGUUUUUGUCAGAGUUGCUGUUAUGGUACUGCGUUUUGGGCUUAUGAUGAGAAUUAUGUUGAUAACACACUGAUAUUUUAGUUGCUGCUGAUGAAGUUGCAGGUUUUUCUGCUUCUUGUGCUGCCCUGCCAGCGAGGAGACUGAGGGUGCACAAGAAAUGGAAGGGAAAGAACCAGGACAGCUGACCCACAUAGUUAAAGGGAUAUUCCAUAUUCUGUGAUGUCAGAUUGAGACAUAAAAGUUGGGGAGAGUAGACCAGGGAGAGGAGGGAAGGGCUGAUGUUUCUUGGGGUCAGUCUGGGCAUCACUCAGUGGGAGGAGAGCAAUUGAAUCACUUAUUUUGUAUAUGUGCUAUUAUCUUUAUUACUGUUUUUAUUAUAAUUUUAUCUUCCUUUUCUGUCCUAUAAAGCUAUCUUAACACAUGAGUUUUAAUUUUAUCCAGUUCUCUCUUUCCCCAUCCCGCCUUUGGCAGGAGGAAUGAGCAGUGGCUGUGUGGUGCUUAGCUGCCUCCCAGCUUACACCAGAACAUCCACCUGAAUUAUUUUUGGCCACUGAACACACACACACACACACACACACACACACACGCACACACAAAGGAUAAAUCUUGCUUAAAUAAAAAGUCCCAUCCAAAUUCCUGUCACCCUGACAUUAGUGGGACUCGCAUUAGACCACUACAGUUAUUCUGUAGUUUCUGCCAGUACCAUUGAAGCUUUUUCUUUUUUCUUUUUUUGGUGGAGGAUUAUUUUUACAUAAGAUGGCCUUUCUUAUGUGGAGGUAACCCUGACAUCUUCCUACCUGAUAGCCUAAAAACAUAUUUUACUAAAAUAGACCUAUGAUGAGCAAUGCUGUUUACAUCUCUGCCAGUAUCCAAACAGCAUCUGUUCCUUUUUUCACUUGAGAACUGUUUAAAACCUUGUGAUUAAGAAACGUUAUGAACAUUUAAUCAUUGUUUCUUUAGAACUGCAGCAGCACAUCAAGAACAGUGGAUGCGUUCACAAUACUGAAUGAAAUCAGUCUAUAUUUAUAAAGGGAAGUGCACGAGAAGUGCAGCUAUAGGAGGAUCUGCUCUGAUUAUAUCUCAGAAGAACAGAUUGAAUUCCAAUUGAAACCUUCAAUAAGGCCUGAGUUAUAGGCAAGAUUAUGAAAUCUCUGGUAUUCUACAUGCUCAGAACAAAAUCUCCAACAUGCCCACUUCAAUAGCUUGCGCAAAAUUAAACGAACAAAAACAUAACACUGGAUUUUGAAGGAUGUCCUUCUACAAAUUUCCACCACAAACCUUAUGUUUGAGUUCAGACUGUAAAAAACAUAUAUGAAAUGACAACAAACGUCUUUUUAGUACGGAAAUGUGCUCAUUUUAAGCAGUUGGAAAUACAUGAAAAAAUCAUGAAAGUAACUGAAAUACCUGCCAUUGCUCCCUUCCUAAAAAUCUAAGCCAAAAUGAUUGUACUGGAGUAUUUAAUUUGCUAAGGGAAAAAAAUAAAAGAGAAAAAAGUGUGUUGAACUUAGA